CUUGUGCCUCUCUGCACCCAGUCUACUAGCUUCACAUACACAGCGUGAGGCGAUUCUCACACAUUGAAGGAGACGUAAUGUGUCUGCACCCAGUCUAUAGUUUAACAUAUGACAAUCUCAAACCUAUAGCAGUGUGAGGCGGUCUCACACUUUGAAGGAGACGAAGUGCUCUUCUGCACCCAGUCUAUAGCUUCACAUAUGACAAUCUCACACCAAUAGCAGCGUGAGGCAAUCUCACACUCUGAAGGAGACGAAGUGCUUCUGCACCCAGUCUAUAGCUUCACAUAUGACAUCUCACACAUGCAGCAGCCUAUAGCUCUACAUAUGGCAUCCCUCACAUGCAGCAGCCUAUAGCUCUACAUAUGGCAUCCCUCACAUGCAGCAGCCUAUAGCUCUACAUAUGGCAUCUCACACAUGCAGCAGCCUAUAGCUCUACAUAUGGCAUCCCUCACAUGCAGCAGCCUAUAGCUCUACAUAUGGCAUCCCUCACAUGCAGCAGCCUAUAGCUCUACAUAUGGCAUCACUCACAUGCAGCAGCCUAUAGCUCUACAUAUGGCAUCUCACACAUGCAGCCUAUAGCUUCACAUGUGGCAAUCUCAC